CAGAUGAGGAGCUUGCUCCUCUGACGUUAGCGGCGGACGGGUGAGUAACACGUGGAUAACCUACCUAUAAGACUGGGAUAACUACGGGAAACCGGAGCUAAUACCGGAUAAUAUAUUGAACCGCAUGGUUCAAUAGUGAAAGACGGUUUUGCUGUCACUUAUAGAUGGAUCCGCGCCGCAUUAGCUAGUUGGUAAGGUAACGGCUUACCAAGGCAACGAUGCGUAGCCGACCUGAGAGGGUGAUCGGCCACACUGGAACUGAGACACGGUCCAGACUCCUACGGGAGGCAGCAGUAGGGAAUCUUCCGCAAUGGGCGAAAGCCUGACGGAGCAACGCCGCGUGAGUGAUGAAGGUCUUCGGAUCGUAAAACUCUGUUAUUAGGGAAGAACAAAUGUGUAAGUAACUAUGCACGUCUUGACGGUACCUAAUCAGAAAGUCACGGCUAACUACGUGCCAGCAGCCGCGGUAAUACGUAGGUGGCAAGCGUUAUCCGGAAUUAUUGGGCGUAAAGCGCGCGUAGGCGGUUUUUUAAGUCUGAUGUGAAAGCCCACGGCUCAACCGUGGAGGGUCAUUGGAAACUGGAAAACUUGAGUGCAGAAGAGGAAAGUGGAAUUCCAUGUGUAGCGGUGAAAUGCGCAGAGAUAUGGAGGAACACCAGUGGCGAAGGCGACUUUCUGGUCUGUAACUGACGCUGAUGUGCGAAAGCG
rnacentral:rRNA from 1 species